CAGCAGCCGCGGGAAUACGUAGGUGGCAAGCGUUGUCCGGAAUUAUUGGGCGUAAAGGGCUCGCAGGCGGUUUCUUAAGUCUGAUGUGAAAGCCCCCGGCUCAACCGGGGAGGGUCAUUGGAAACUGGGAAACUUGAGUGCAGAAGAGGAGGGUGGAAUUCCACGUGUAGCGGUGAAAUGCGUAGAGAUGUGGAGGAACACCAGUGGCGAAGGCGACUCUCUGGUCUGUAACUGACGCUGAGGAGCGAAAGCGUGGGGAGCGAACAGGAUUAGAUACCCCAGUAGUCCCUGUCUCUUAUAC
rnacentral:rRNA from 1 species